CGUAGCAGCCACGCACUGAAGGCCAGGGGCACUUGGGAGCUGCUGUAAGCCCCAGAUGCGUGUUCGUUUUGGAUUUUUCACAAAGCUUUGAUUAAUUGUUUUAUACAGAAAGUGCCAGCACGUUAAGUUACGAAGUAGAGGGUUCUUCACACCGAAAGGACAUGUUACAUCCUCCAUUCUUUAUUAUAAACCUCGCUGUAGAACAAAGCAAAUGGACAAUCAUAUACAUCAUCACAGACUGUGUUGUGAGGCAGCUACACCUCAGCUAAGGACUACCAGUGCCAACAUAACAGAAGACAAAUGUCCGAGUAGCAUCACUAUUAACCACCUAACCAGUUGCUUUGACAAAUCCCCAAAAAUAUUGCCACCAUUGCUGAAAAAAAAUCCUACUCUCUCACAGUUCUUUUCUCCUAAACAGACAUAUAACAGUAAAAUCGUAUCUGAUCCUACAGUUUAAUGAUGCCAUGGGCGUGCAAGAAUAGACAUUUUCUACAUGUUUCCAUUAAAGACAUAAGGAAAAUAUGACUAUAGGGUGAUCCCUUUCAGAAUACCACACACAAGAAAGAAAGUAUGAGCAGAUUUCCUGUAAAUAUUGUGUGAUUCAGAAGGCUGCAGUAAUAAAACUCAGGAUUGUAAGAACAGCAGCACAGGUGUCCCUGUCUCACAUUACAUUCUCCUUGAAAUUUUAGAAAACCUAGACAUCCAAUCCAAUCAUCAGCUUGUGGAGCAUGUCCCUACUCCACUAUGCAGCUGUCUGAGGCUAUCAUAAGAGAAUCAGGAACUGCACUAUACAGUGAAGGUGGAGUGAGUAAUAUCUAACAAGAUAGAAAACCUUUGGUGUGGAAUCACACAACCAUUGAGUCACACAGAUAAAUGGAGCCCACAUAAAAAUAAUGUAGACAAAGGGCUGAUAUUUUCAAUGCUUGUAACAGUUUCACACAGUUAAUGAAUUUUAACAUGAUUCAUGUUGUAUUGUGUGUCUCUAAACAAAAUAAGGAAUCUUUGUAAAACUUUGUGGAGAUGAUUUUUAUUGAACAAAGUUGGCACAAAAUCUGCCUAUCCAGUUGGAUAUUAGAGAUUUCAUUGCAUUACUCAAAGAUAGGUAUUAAAUUCUCCUAAUGUUCUCACUAACAAUUCAAGCAAUUAUAUUGCAUAUUAAUAAA